rnacentral:rRNA from 1 species
AGUGAACGCUGGCGGUAGGCCUAACACAUGCAAGUCGAACGGCAGCACAGUAAGAGCUUGCUCUUACGGGUGGCGAGUGGCGGACGGGUGAGGAAUACAUCGGAAUCUACUUUUUCGUGGGGGAUAACGUAGGGAAACUUACGCUAAUACCGCAUACGACCUACGGGUGAAAGCAUGGGAUCUUCUGACCUUGCGCGAUUGAAUGAGCCGAUGUCGGAUUAGCUAGUUGGCUGGGUAAAGGCCCACCAAGGCGACGAUCCGUAGCUGGUCUGAGAGGAUGAUCAGCCACACUGGAACGGAGACACGGUCCAGACUCCUACGGGAGGCAGCAGUGGGGAAUAUUGGACAAUGGGCGCAAGCCUGAUCCAGCCAUACCGCGUGGGUGAAGAAGGCCUUCGGGUUGUAAAGCCCUUUUGUUGGGAAAGAAAAGCAGCAGGUUAAUACCCCGCUGUUCUGACGGUACCCAAAGAAUAAGCACCGGCUAACUUCGUG